CCUACGGGUGGCAGCAGUGAGGAAUAUUGGUCAAUGGACGAGAGUCUGAACCAGCCAAGUAGCGUGAAGGAUGACUGCCCUAUGGGUUGUAAACUUCUUUUAUAUGGGAAUAAAACGUUCCACGUGUGGGAUUUUGUAUGUACCAUAUGAAUAAGGAUCGGCUAACUCCGUGCCAGCAGCCGCGGUAAUACGGAGGAUCCGAGCGUUAUCCGGAUUUAUUGGGUUUAAAGGGAGCGUAGGUGGAUUGUUAAGUCAGUUGUGGAAGGUUGCGGCUCAAACGUAAAAUAGCAGUUGAAACUGGCAGUCUUGAGUACAGUAGAGGUAGGCGGAAUUCGUGGUGUAGCGGUGAAAUGCUUAGAUAUCACGAAGAACUCCGAUUGCGAAGGCAGUUCACUGGACUGCAACUGACGCUGAGGCUCGAAAGUGUGGGUAUCAAACAGGAUUAGAUACCCCUGUAGUC
rnacentral:rRNA from 1 species